AAUAUUGGGCAAUGGGGGAAACCCUGACCCAGCAACGCCGCGUGAGUGAAGAAGGCCUUCGGGUUGUAAAGCUCUGUCAUUAGGGAAGAAGAAAGUGACGGUACCUAAUGAGGAAGCCCCGGCUAACUACGUGCCAGCAGCCGCGGUAAUACGUAGGGGGCGAGCGUUGUCCGGAAUUACUGGGCGUAAAGGGUGCGUAGGUGGCUAUUUAAGUUGGAUGUGAAAUCCCCGGGCUUAACUUGGGUGGUGCAUUCAAAACUGGAUGGCUAGAGUGCAGGAGAGGGAAGCGGAAUUCCUAGUGUAGCGGUGAAAUGCGUAGAUAUUAGGAGGAACACCAGUGGCGAAGGCGGCUUUCUGGACUGUAACUGACACUGAGGCACGAAAGCGUGGGGAGCAAACAGG
rnacentral:rRNA from 1 species